rnacentral:rRNA from 1 species
GGAAAGGUGAAAAGAACCCCGAACAGGGGAGUGAAAUAGAACCUGAAACCAUACGCUUACAACCGGUCGGAGCAGCUUCGUGCUGUGACGGCGUGCCUAUUGAAUAAUGAGCCUACGAGUUACUAAUCACUGGCGAGGUUAAGUGCACGGAUGCACGGAGCCGAAGCGAAAGCGAGUCUGAACAGGGCGGCUAGUCAGUGGUUGUAGACGCGAAACCUUGCGAUCUACCCUUGAGCAGGUUGAAGGUUGGGUAAAACCAACUGGAGGACCGAACGAAUAAGCGUUGAAAAGCUUCUCGAUGACUUGAGGGUAGGGGUGAAAGGCUAAUCAAGCUGGGAAAUAGCUCGUACUCCCCGAAAUGCCUUUAGGGGCAGCGUUGUAAUAAAGAGUCUACUGGAGGUAGAGCUACUGAUUGGAUGCGGGGGCUUCACCGCCUACCAAAUCCUGACAAACUCCGAAUGCCAGUAGUAUGAUUUACAGCAGUGAGCGACCGGGUGCUAAUGUCCGGUCACAAAAGAGGAACAACUCAGACCAGCAACUAAGGUCCCCAAGAAUAUGCUAAGUUGAACUAACGAUGUUUUGUUGCAGAGACAGCUAGGAUGUUAGCUUGGAAGCAGCUAUUCAUUCAAAGAGUGCGUAACAGCUCACUAGUCGAGCGACAGAGCGUGGAUAAUAAACGGGCAUCAAGCAUAUCACCGAAGUUCUGGGCGCGAGAGCGCGGUAGGGGAGCAUUCCAUUCAGCGUCGAAGCAGUUUCGUGAGGAAUUGUGGAGCGUAUGGAAAAGCAAAUGUAGGCAUGAGUAACGAUAAUGCGGGAGAGUAACCCGCACACCGCAAGACCAAGGUUUCCUGAUCAACGCUAAUCGGAUCAGGGUUAGUCGGGUCCUAAGGGUAAGCCGAACGGCGAUCUCGAUGGAUAAUCGGUUAAUAUUCCGAUACUAACAUAUACCUCGAUGGAGAGACGAAGGAACGUAAGUGCCGCCACCUGACGGAAUAGGUGGUUAAAGGAUUUAGGUAUAGGGACGGAUUAAGAGUCGGUUCCUGCUGAAUUCCGACAGUACAGAGAGCCUACGGGCAAUUUGAUAGUGCACCCAAGUCGACUUCCGAGAAAAUCUUCUAAGUUAUAGUAUAUGUCACCCGUACCGUAAACCGACACAGGUGGUCGAGGAGAGUAUCCUAAGGUGCUCGAGUGAAUCACGGUUAAGGAACUAGGCAAAUUAACCCCGUAACUUCGGGAAAAGGGGUCCCUAUGAAAGUAGGGCGCAGCGAAGAGGUCCAGGCGACUGUUUAUCAAAAACACAGGGCUCUGCAAAUUCGAAAGAAGACGUAUAGGGCCUGACACCUGCCCGGUGCUGGAAGGUUAAGAGGGGAUGUCAUCGCAAGAGAAGCAUUGAAUCGAAGCCCCAGUAAACGGCGGCCGUAACUAUAACGGUCCUAAGGUAGCGAAAUUCCUUGUCGGGUAAGUUCCGACCUGCACGAAUGGUGUAAUGAUCUGGACACUGUCUCAACCGUGAGCUCGGUGAAAUUGUAGUAUCGGUGAAGAUGCCGAUUACCCGCAACGGGACGAAAAGACCCCGUGAACCUUUACUGCAACUUAGCAUUGCGUUUGGGCAUUUGAUGUGUAGGAUAGUCCGGAGGCUACGAGUCGGCGACGCCAGUCGUCGAGGAGCCGCUGUUGAAAUACGGACCUUCGAAUGUUUGAGCGCUAACUCGCUGUAGCGAGGACACUGUUUGGUGGGUAGUUUGACUGGGGUGGUCGCCUCCAAAAGCGUAACGGAGGCUUC